AUCAAAGAUUGUAGGAUCUGAAGUUAGAAGUCUUGUGUUGUUCGAAGCAGAGAUAGAAGGUGUUUCAAGAGGUGUUUAAACGGAGAAUUGUUUUAUUGAGUUAGUCGCAAAUCUCCAAGAUUUGGGGGUUUGCUAGUCGAUUUUUUUUAGAGUAGCCAUAUGGUAUACGAGUAGCCAACGAGAGCUAACUCUAUUAUGUUUUCUACAUAGCUGUGUAUGCUACUGAAACGUUGCAAAUAACGUUAGUUGCGAGGUUGGGUCGUCUCAUGAUGUCAGCCAUCCAGAGCUGCAUUUCCAUCUAAACAUAGACAGCCAUUCAGCUCCAGGGAUGACUGACUCAAUAAGAAGGGGGUGGCGGUUGAUCAGAUGCCCUACUCCACAAGAAGGCAUAGCUGAGGCCCAAGUUCCACAUACCCUACAUCAUGGAGAUGGAAAAAACAUGGAGGUCAGCUGGCCUUGAGGAGAAAAGUUUCCCAGCAGGGAGACUGUGAGAGGCAUGAGCAGGAGCGUCCCCAUGGGUCUUGUACGAGAGGAGAUGGAUAAGAGGAAUCAGACUCAGCUGGCCUGGAGCUCAGGGCCAGACACGUCACCUCGAGACGCGGCCGGGGCAAAGUUCUGAUGUGUGAAAUCACCCGCAGGCUCGUGCUGGGUGUUCCUUCCAUGUCGUCGGCCUCAAAGUUGGAUUAAAGAGGAAAUUGAAGGGGAAGGCAGAAAGCUGCUGGAGCACACGAGACGAGAGGAGAGAGGA